rnacentral:rRNA from 1 species
GACGAACCGUGCGAACGUUAUUCGGAAUCACUGGGCUUAAAGGGAGCGUAGGCGGGCUAUCAAGUCUGGGGUGAAAUCCCACGGCUCAACCGUGGAACUGCCUUAGAUACUGACGGCCUCGAGGGAGAUAGGGGCAUGCGGAACUGUAGGUGGAGCGGUGAAAUGCGUAGAUAUCGGAAGGAACAUCAGUGGCGAAAGCGACUUCCUGGACCAGUACCGACGUUCAGGCACGAAAGCGUGGGGAGCAAACAGG